AGAAAAGGAAAACAUAUGAAGGAAAAAAAAGAUUAAGGUAAGUAAAGGAAAAAGGCAAAGGAAUAAAGGUGAAAAAAAGGAAAACAAAUGAAGGAAAAAAAGAUUAAGGUAAGUUAAGGAAAAAGACAAAGGAAUAAAGGUGAAAAAAAAGGAAAACGAAUGAAGGAAAAAAAAGAUUAAGGUAAGUAAAGGAAGAAUGCAAAGGAAUGAAGGUGGAAAAAAAAGGAAAACAAAUGAAGGAAAAAAAAUUAAGGUAAGUAAAGGAAGAAUGCAACAGAAAAAAAGAUGAAAAAAAAAAAGAAAAAAAAAAGAUUAAGGCAAAGGAAGGAAUGCAAAAUAAAGGUCAAGUAAGGUUAGCAAAGGGCAAGGCAAACACACACACACACACACACACACAGAGGAGUCAUGCAAGCCACACAAAGGAGUCAGGGGAGGAGUUAGCGGCACAGACAACAAAGGAAUCAAGACAAAGGGACGUAACGAAGGUGAGGUCAAUAGAGGGGUCAUGCAGGUCACACAGAGGUCAAGGUCAGUUUACACAUUACCCCAAAAAAAUAUUGAAUAAGUUAGUUGCCGAUAUUUUGAUAAAGGAACGCAGUAAAGGAAUGCGUAAAUAAAUGAAAGGAAAAUGGAUGUAGUAACCAUUAUCAUUAUUAUUAUUAUUAUUAUUAUUGUUGUGUUUGAGCACAUAAUACAGUCAGGUCGAGGAGGAGUGUGUGUGUGUGUGUGUGUGUGUGUGUGUUAGAAAUAGUUCACCGUGUAAGUAUAUCCAGUCAAUGAUAGAGAGCAAGAGAGAGAGAAAGAGAGAGAGAGAGAACCAUUACCAGUCAGAGAGUAGAGUUAGUGAGUGCCAAGUACCGUCACCAACCACAGAACACACAGACAGACCGUUGUUAGUGUGCCAGGUUAGUGUGCCACAGAAAGGUACACAAAGGGUGAGAGAGAGAGAGAGUGACGGAAAAAUUCAAAAGUAACGAGAAAAAAUGCGAAAAAAAACAAAAAAUAUCCAGAGUUGAAAUAUUUAUGUGAAGGAAGUGAAGGAAGAAAGAAGAUAAAAAGCAACAUAAAGAAGAGAAGAAGGAGUAGAAACAAAAUAAAAGAAAUAAAAGAAAAGGAGAAAAAAACAAAAUAUAUCCAGAGUUGAAAUAUUUACAUGUAGGAAGUGAAGGAAGAGAGAAGACAAAAGCAACAUGAAGCAAGAAUAGAAGUAGAAAUAAAAGCAAAAUAAAAGAAAUUAAAGAAAUAAAAGGAGAAAAAACAAAAUAUAACCAGAGUUGAAAUAUUUACGUGAAGGAAGUGAAGGAAGAGAGAAGAUAAACAGCAACAAGAAGAGGAGAAGUAGAAAUAGAAGCAAAAUAAUAGAAACAGAAGUGAAAUAAUAAUAAUGACCAAUAUACAAUGUGGAUGGAGGAGAGGAUAAGGACAGAGAGAAAGCGAGAGAGACGGAGAGAGGGAAAAAAAUGAAAAGAUCAGUACACCAUUCAUAUUAAAAUCAAAGUCAUCUUAACACAUAAAUAUUAAUAAAACAACAAGACUGAAAAAAAAUAUCACGCUACAUUCAUGCUAGGAUUAAAAAACAUUAAUAUAUAGCAAAAACCAGAAAAAAAGUUAGCACAGCAUCCAUGUAAAUAAACUCCAAUCAAUCUUAACAUGAAUAUUAAUAAAGAAACAAGGCUGGCAAAAAAAUAUUACAACCAUUCAUGCCAGGAGUAAAAAGAUAUUAAUGUGGAGCAAUAAAGAGAAAAAUAUUAACCCCUUCAACACGAGGACGCGUGUACUGUGUCCUUGCGUGCCCCGUACCAUAUCAGAGGACGCGCAUACUGCAUCCUGGCACGCCUUAGCCAAUAUACGAGUUAUUUUAUCUUUAUAUUUAUGUUUACAUCUUAAAAUUAUCAAUUAAUUUAUGCUUCUUUAUGUGCACCAUUUAAUUCUGCAUGUUUUCAUAUAUAAUACAUGAUGAUUAUGUUGAGUUUAUGGCUGAAAACUUGUUAUAUUCAAUAGCAACAUUUGAAAUUUGGCGCGCACGGCGAUCCUGGAUACAACGCGGGGCGCUGUUUUGGCCCGGCCGUAGUGAGUUUCUUUAUGUGCACCAUUUAAUUCUGCAUGUUUUCAUAUAUAAUACAUGAUGAUUGUAUUGAAUUUAUGGCUGAAAACUUGUUAUAUUCAAUAACAUUUGAAAUUUGGCGCGCGCGGUGAUAUCGGAUACGGCACAGGGCUCUGUUUUCGCCCGGCCGUAGUGAAGGGGUUAAGUUAGUAUUCAUAUUAAAAUCAAAUUAAUCUUUAAAAAAAAAAAAAAAAAAAAAAAAACAUUCAUGCUUGGAUUAAAACAAGAUUAAUAUGGAGCAAUAAAGCAAAAAAUAAUAAGUUAGCAUUCAUAUUAAAAUCAAAUUAAUCUUAAAAAAAAAAAAUAAAUAAAUAAAUAAAUAAAUAAAUAAAAUAAACAUUCAUGCUUGGAUUAAAAAAAUAUUAAUAUAGCCAAAAUAACACAAUUCAUAUUAUUAAAAAACAAAAACACAAAACAUUAGUGGGAAGCAACACCAAACGCAGGAAAUGGGAAACGGUGAGCUGUGUGCCGGGAGUGUGCGGUGUGUGGCCUGGACUCAAGUAGGAGGGAUGGUGCACUGAGGGAAAGGCACUGGUUCAUUUAGGAAAGGUUAUAUCUAGUAGUUAAGGCACUGGUUGACUCAUUUAUGUAAGGUUACUACUGUGAUAUUUAGUACAUAAAGCUAUUGAUUCAUUUAGCUGUCAUUAUAUUUAGUAGGUAAAGCCAUUGACUCAUUUAUGUAAGGUUACUACUGUGAUAUUUAGUACAUAAAGCUAUUGAUUCAUUUAGCGGUCAUUAUAUUUAGUAGGUAAAGCCAUUGACUCAUUUAUGUAAGGUUACUACUGUUAUAUUUAGUACAUAAAGCUAUUGAUUCAUUUAGCUGUCAUUAUAUUUAGUAGGUAAAGCCAUUGACUCAUUUAUGUAAGGUUACUACUGUUAUAUUUAGUACAUAAAGCUAUUGAUUCAUUUGGCUGUCAUUAUAUUUAGUAGGUAAAGCCACUGACUCAUUUAUGUAAGGUUACUACUGUGAUAUUCAGCGUGGAAAGCUACUGACUCAUUUAGGUGUAAUAUAUUUAGCCAAGUGAGUUGUUGAUUCAUUUGGGCAUCACUUUAUUUAGCAGAGUAAGCCCUUGAUUAAUUUGUGUAAGGUUACUAAUUAAUGUUGGAGGGGGUCAGGUGAGGGAAGAUAAAUGAAGGGAAGCUGUUUUGAUUCAUUAAGGUAAAGGAAGGUCUGGCUUAGGUAAGGGAAGGGUAGAAUUGAUGCUCUCGGUUCCUUUAGGUGAAAGAUUCUCUCUCUCUCUCUCUCUCUCACACACACACCCUGUCUCUCACAUGCAUAUAUAAAAAAUGGUGAUACUUGUGAUGAUAAUGGUGUUUAUGAUAAUGGAAUUGGUGAUGAUGAUAGUGGCAAUGAGGAAAGAAAAGCAGAUAGAUAGUAGAAGAAAAUGACACUGAUGCUGAUGGGACAAAAAUGCAGUGGACUCGCUCAAUAUAGAAAUGUUAUAAAUACUAACAUGACUUAAUAACUACCAGCCAGAGGGUAUCACUUUGGCCCACUGGUUAAGGAGUGGCUUCCCCAUCUAGCUGGUCAUGGGUUUGAUCCCUGGCGCCGGUAAGCCCUUUCCUGGUCUGGGUUAAUUUCUCAGGCAUUUUGUGACAUGCAGAGGUUGUGUGGGGGCAUGGCAAAGUGGAGUUUAGUGACAUUACAUUAGUAGUAUUUCCACGGGUAGUUUUAUGAGCCUAGUGGUAGUUUGAGGGUGAUGGAAAAGUGUGAGUUCAAUGGUGUUGCUAAAAUAAUGAUACUUCUGAUGUGAGAAAGACAGUGAUGAUCAUGGUGGUGGUGGUGGGUUUGUGGGUGAUGGAAGAGUGUGAGUUUAAUGGUGUUGCUAAAAUAAUGAUACUUCUGGUGUGAGAAAGACAGUGAUGAUCAUGGUGGUGGUGGAGGUGGAGGUGGUGGUGGUGGUGGGUUUGUGGGUGAUGGAAAAGUGUGAGUUCAAUGGUGUUGCUAAAAUGAUGAUACUUCUGGUGUGAGAAAGAUGGUGAUGAUCAUGGAGGUGGUGGUGGUGGU